CAGGGAUGUGAUGCUAGAAAUCUAUAGCAUCCUACUGUCCUUGGGGCACUGCAUUAACAAGCCUGAGGUGAUCUUCAAGUUGGAACAAGGAGCAGAACCAUGGAUGUUAGAAAAACCCCUGAACCAGAGCCUUCCAAUUGCCAACAGAAAGGAUGACCUUAUCAAAACCAACCAGAAAAGUGAAGAAGUAAAUUUGAGGCAAG